ACGAUGAAGAGUUUGAUCCUGGCUCAGGAUGAACGCUAGCGGCAGGCUUAACACAUGCAAGUCGAGGGGUAGAACACUUCGGUGUUUGAGACCGGCGCACGGGUGCGUAACGCGUAUGCAAUCUACCUUUUACAGGGGGAUAGCCCAGAGAAAUUUGGAUUAAUACCCCAUGGUAUUGCAGGAUGGCAUCAUCCUGCAAUUAAAGUCACAACGGUAAAAGAUGAGCAUGCGUCCCAUUAGCUAGUUGGUAGGGUAACGGCUUACCAAGGCUACGAUGGGUAGGGGUCCUGAGAGGGAGAUCCCCCACACUGGUACUGAGACACGGACCAGACUCCUACGGGAGGCAGCAGUGAGGAAUAUUGGUCAAUGGGCGCAAGCCUGAACCAGCCAUGCCGCGUGCAGGAUGACGGUCCUAUGGAUUGUAAACUGCUUUUGUACGAGAAGAAACACUCCUUCGUGAAGGAGCUUGACGGUAUCGUAAGAAUAAGGAUCGGCUAACUCCGUGCCAGCAGCCGCGGUAAUACGGAGGAUCCAAGCGUUAUCCGGAAUCAUUGGGUUUAAAGGGUCCGUAGGCGGUUUGGUAAGUCAGUGGUGAAAGCCCAUCGCUCAACGGUGGAACGGCCAUUGAUACUGCUGAACUUGAAUUAUUGGGAAGUAACUAGAAUAUGUAGUGUAGCGGUGAAAUGCUUAGAGAUUACAUGGAAUACCAAUUGCGAAGGCAGGUUACUACCAAUGGAUUGACGCUGAUGGACGAAAGCGUGGGUAGCGAACAGGAUUAGAUACCCUGGUAGUCCACGCCGUAAACGAUGGAUACUAGCUGUUGGGCGCAAGUUCAGUGGCUAAGCGAAAGUGAUAAGUAUCCCACCUGGGGAGUACGAACGCAAGUUUGAAACUCAAAGGAAUUGACGGGGGCCCGCACAAGCGGUGGAGCAUGUGGUUUAAUUCGAUGAUACGCGAGGAACCUUACCAAGGCUUAAAUGUAGACUGACCGGUUUGGAAACAGACCUUUCGCAAGACAGUUUACAAGGUGCUGCAUGGUUGUCGUCAGCUCGUGCCGUGAGGUGUCAGGUUAAGUCCUAUAACGAGCGCAACCCCUGUUGUUAGUUGCCAGCGAGU
rnacentral:rRNA from 1 species